UCAAAGUCUCUCAGAUACACUCGAACCAUCAUAAAUCUCGGAAACGCGUCGCUCAGUCUACCCCUCAUCAUUUCCCUGCCCAUGUCCUAUUAGUAUGCUCCGAUCAGCAACCCUGGCGUUCGAUGAUACCCCCACACCGUCUGAGUUACCACCGGAAGCCUUCACCUCCGCCAGUGACGCCAUUCCCAAGAAUCGGUGACUCUUCCUCCCCCACUCUUAAAAUGCUGCCUGAACCUCCGGCCACCCUAAUCCUCGGCCGCUUUCUUUUCUUGGUCGCCGUCUCCCUCUCCUGCGUGAUUCUCUUCCUCGCUUCAGACUCCAUCCGGUUCCUCCGUCGCUUCCAAUCUUCCACCUCCGGUUCGUCCUUCAACUUCUCCUCUGCCUUCGACGAUUCCCCUCUGGAGGCUGGUGACGGAUAUAGGCUUGAAAAGGUUUUGAAGGAUGCUGCCAUGGAAGACAGCACUGUUAUUAUAACAGCUAUAAAUGAAGCGUGGGCAGCUCCAAAUUCGGUGAUUGAUCUCUUUCUUGAGAGCUUUAGAAUUGGAGAUCACACCCGUAGACUUUUGAACCAUUUGGUGAUUAUUGCCUUGGAUCAAAAGGCAUUUGCGCGUUGUCUCGUGAUACAUACGCACUGCUUUUCUCUUGUCAGUGAUGGAGUUGAUUUUCGUCAUGAGGCGUACUUUAUGACCCCUGAUUACUUGAAGAUGAUGUGGAAAAGGAUUGAUUUCCUGCGCUCUGUUCUUGAGAUGGGAUACAAUUUUGUUUUCACGGAUGCUGAUGUCAUGUGGUUCAGAGACCCAUUUCCUCAGUUUUAUUUGGAUGCGGAUUUCCAAAUAGCCUGUGACAUUUUCUUAGGGAGCUCUGAUGAUGUGCAUAACAGACCCAACGGAGGCUUUAACUAUGUGAAGUCAAAUAAUCGCUCAGUAGAGUUCUACAAAUUCUGGUACUCUUCACAUGAAACGUUUCCUGGAUACCAUGAUCAGGAUGUCCUUAAUAUCAUCAAGUCUCAUCCCUUCAUCCUAGAUAUUGGACUAAAGAUGAAAUUCUUGGACACUGCAUAUUUUGGUGGGCUUUGCGAACCUAGCAAAGAUUUGAAUGAAGUUUGUACAAUGCACGCAAACUGUUGUUUUGGCCUAGACAACAAGCUCCAUGAUCUAAGGAUUAUGCUCCAGGAUUGGAAGCAUUUUAUGUCUUUGCCACCAAGGUUGAAGAGAUUGUCAAAUUUAUCCUGGAGGGUUCCUCAGAAUUGCAGUCUCAGUUCACUCCAUCAUUAUGAUUCCCCGAAGAACAUUGAAGAGGGAGGGCAGGAUUGACAUGAAUUGUAUACGUGUUGCAUGGUAGAUUUGCCUUGCAUGUGAAUUUUUGGACAUGUUUGGUCUCAAUGUAUCUCAGCGGUGUUCACAUGUAUGAAUUGAGGGGAUGCCGAUGUAACUUGCAUGUUCCCCAAACUCCAAUAAAGAGGAAAUUGUGGAAAGGGUGAAUACGACAACUGAAGGUAGUGGAACUACAACCUUCCAUUACAUGGCGGAGGUACUACGUCUUUGUUCGACAAUGAUUGCAAAAGAAAUCUUCUGGACUACCAUUUCAUGCUUUUAUGGAAGAUCUUUGGUCAUAAACGCUGACUAGAUUGUGUGAAUAUCUGUUUAGUCUCGCUAGUUACUGUGAACUAUGCCCAACUAUUUAAGUGGUAUCAGGGAUAAGACAGACAUAAAGUGAAGAGCAAUAAAGGCUAGCAAGAGGGGAAACACACAAGGAGAUGACAAAAUUUUUGGGCAGACUGGCUUCUUCAUUUGGGAUCUCCUCCUCCUCCUCCUCCUCUACCCCUUCUCCUUGUAACUGAGAGCAAAAAUGGAGGAUGAGAGAUUGCAAUUUGUACACACUUCAUUGUAGAUUUCUAUCCGACUCCGUGAAUAUAGGCCUCAGUGUUGAAUCACACACUUCAUUGUAGUUUUAUUUUAUUUUCUACUCAUGUCCUUUAUUUUCUCAUGCUUAUAGAAAUUUAUCUCCACCAUCAAAUUGCUUCAGUAAGACUAGUUGCUUGUCAAAAGACCAUGGGCCAUCACGUAA